UACGUAGGGUGCGAGCGUUAAUCGGAAUUACGUGGGCGUAAAGCGUGCGCAGGCGGUUUUUGUAAGUCUGUCGUGAAAUCCCCGGGCUUAACCUGGGAAUUGCGAUGGAGACUGCAAGGCUAGAAUCGUGGCGAGAGGGGGGUGAGAAUUCCACGUGUGAGCAGUGAAAUGACGUAGAGAUAGUGGAGGAACACCGAUGGCGAAGGGCAGCCCCCUGGGUCAAGAUUGGACGC
rnacentral:rRNA from 1 species